rnacentral:rRNA from 1 species
UGGGGAAUUUUGCACAAUGGGCGGAAGCCUGAUGCAGCGACGUCGUGUGGGGGAUGAAGGCCGUCGGGUUGUAAACUCCUUUCGUCAGGGACGAAGUUUGUUUGACGGUACUUGGAUAAGAAGCACCGGCUAACUACGUGCCAGCAGCCGCUGUACUACGUAGGGUGCGAGCGUUGUCCGGAUUUACUGGGGGUAAAGGGCUCGUAGGUGGUGUGUUGCGUCGUCUGUGUAAUCCAGGGGCUUAACUUUUGGUUGGCAGGCGAUACGGGCAUUGCUUGAGUGCUGUAGGGGAGACUGGAAUUCCUGGUGUAGCGGUGAAAUGCGCAGAUAUCAGGAGGAACACCGAUGGCGAAGGCAGGUCUCUGGGCAGUUACUGACGCUGAGGAGCGAGAGCAUGGGUAGCGAACAGG